rnacentral:rRNA from 1 species
UGGGGAAUAUUGGACAAUGGGCGCAAGCCUGAUCCAGCCAUGCCGCGUGAGUGAUGAAGGCCUUAGGGUUGUAAAGCUCUUUCACCGGAGAAGAUAAUGACGGUAUCCGGAGAAGAAGCCCCGGCUAACUUCGUGCCAGCAGCCGCGGUAAUACGAAGGGGGCUAGCGUUGUUCGGAAUUACUGGGCGUAAAGCGCACGUAGGCGGAUCGAUCAGUCAGGGGUGAAAUCCCAGAGCUCAACUCUGGAACUGCCUUUGAUACUGUCGAUCUAGAGUAUGGAAGAGGUGAGUGGAAUUCCGAGUGUAGAGGUGAAAUUCGUAGAUAUUCGGAGGAACACCAGUGGCGAAGGCGGCUCACUGGUCCAUUACUGACGCUGAGGUGCGAAAGCGUGGGGAGCAAACA